rnacentral:rRNA from 1 species
GACGUUCAACCGCAAAACAAGCAGAGGGGGCUUAGUGGUGGGGUGACUGCGUACCUUUUGUAUAAUGGGUCAGCGACUUAUAUUCUGUAGCAAGGUUAACCGAAUAGGGGAGCCGGAGGGAAACCGAGUCUUAAUUGGGCGUUAAGUUGCAGGGUAUAGACCCGAAACCCGGUGAUCUAGCCAUGGGCAGGUUGAAGGUUGGGUAACACUAACUGGAGGACCGAACCGACUAAUGUUGAAAAAUUAGCGGAUGACCUGUGGCUGGGGGUGAAAGGCCAAUCAAACCGGGAGAUAGCUGGUUCUCCCCGAAAGCUAUUUAGGUAGCGCCUCGUGAAUUCAUCUCCGGGGGUAGAGCACUGUUUCGGCUAGGGGGCCAUCCCGGCUUACCAACCCGAUGCAAACUGCGAAUACCGGAGAAUGUUAUCACGGGAGACACACGGCGGGUGCUAACGUCCGUCGUGAAGAGGGAAACAACCCAGACCGCCAGCUAAGGUCCCAAAGUCAUGGUUAAGUGGGAAACGAUGUGGGAAGGCCCAGACAGCCAGGAUGUUGGCUUAGAAGCAGCCAUCAUUUAAAGAAAGCGUAAUAGCUCACUGGUCGAGUCGGCCUGCGCGGAAGAUGUAACGGGGCUAAACCAUGCACCGAAGCUGCGGCAGCGAACGUAUCACCCAAGACAACUUUACGGAGUUGACGAUUGACGGAGCGAAGCGACGUCAAAGCGUUCAUUAAAGUCGAGUUGGCUUAGGGAUACGUUCGUUGGGUAGGGGAGCGUUCUGUAAGCCUGUGAAGGUGUGUCGUGAGGCAUGCUGGAGGUAUCAGAAGUGCGAAUGCUGACAUAAGUAACGAUAAAGCGGGUGAAAAGCCCGCUCGCCGGAAGACCAAGGGUUCCUGUCCAACGUUAAUCGGGGCAGGGUGAGUCGACCCCUAAGGCGAGGCCGAAAGGCGUAGUCGAUGGGAAACGGGUUAAUAUUCCCGUACUUGGUGUUACUGCGAAGGGGGGACGGAGAAGGCUAUGUUGGCCGGGCGACGGUUGUCCCGGUUUAAGCGUGUAGGUGUGUGUUCCAGGUAAAUCCGGUU